GACGAACGCUGGCGGCGUGCUUAACACAUGCAAGUCGAGCGGUAAGGCCCUUUCGGGGGUACGACGAGCGGCGAACGGGUGAGUAACACGUGGGUGACCUGCCCUCAGCUCUGGGAUAAGCCUGGGAAACCGGGUACUAAUACUGGAUAUGACUCCAUGACGCAUGUUGUGGGGUGGAAAGCCUUGUGCGGCUGAGGAUGGGCCCGCGGCCUAUCAGCUUGUUGGUGAGGUAACGGCUCACCAAGGCAACGACGGGUAGCUGGUCUGAGAGGACGAUCAGCCACACUGGC
rnacentral:rRNA from 1 species